CCUCCAUUUCAGCCGUGCAUCUCAAAGAGCAAGAACCAAACUUGCUUCAUCAAUUUUCCUUCAUCAUUUCUUCACCAAAUCUUCUCCAAAUCACACCAAAAUUUAACUACACUUAACUAAUCACUUGGAGAGCACUUUGAGCUAGGAAAGGAGGCUGUUCUCAUGAUUUUUCUUUGGCUCAAGAAGGCCGAAAAUUUCCGCCUUGGACAUCUAGUGAAGCGCACACGAGGACCUUCAAGAGGAUCCGACGGAGGACACUUGAAUUUCAAAUUGAACCUACUUGCUCUUGUUGCUUGGGAAUUGAGCAGAAAACAAUAAAAAAUGAGGGACUUUCUGGAGACAAUUAAGACUUCAAACAAUCGGGCCCACAUGGUGCUACAAACGGAUUGCAUUUCCUUUGCUGAUUAGGAGAUUGGAGUCCUACUAGUACUAGGAAACAAAAAGGAAGGAAUCCCUCAAGUAGUGCUAGAAGCUUUUUGCUGUUGCUUGCUCCUUAUCCGG